rnacentral:lncRNA from 1 species
AGGCUGUAAUGGUGAGACAGGCAUAAUCCCUGAUCAUGGAACCUAUGGGCACAAGGCAGUCAACAGUUAAAUACACACAAUAUUUAUAAGUUACAAUGAAUUAAACGAAGGAAAAGACGAGGAACUAAGAGACAGCCUAAUUGGAGGAUCUCAUUUAGAUUGGGAGGCUGGGGAAAGUCUCCAUGAAGAAGUGUUAUCUACACUGAAACCUGAGAAAAGUUGGUAGAAUUCAGGCCAAAAGUGGGAGAAGGAGCAUUUCAGACAGAGGGAUCAACCUUGUGGAAGCCCUGUGGUGGGAGAGAGCUUAGAAUUGAAAUGAGGUUAGGGGCCACCACAGGGAAACUGGAGACACAUAAGUGAUGGGAGCUUGGCCAGGACCAACUUCCUGUAGGCAUUCCAAUUGCAAUUGCCAUUUAUAAGUUUUCAGCAGAUAAAUCAUAUGGUCGAACUUAGGUCCUAACACAUCUGUCUACUGCUAAAUAGAAGAAUGGGUGCCACUUAAGAAUGGGUUCAAUGUAACGAGGGCAAAAGUAGAAGUGAGGAGACCAGCUGUGAGGCUAUUGCAGUGGUCCUGGUGUAGGAUGUGGGUGGCUUGGACUUGGGUAAUGGCAGUGAAUUGACAGACAUGAGUGAAACUGUGAGAUGUUUUAGGAGUAGAAUUGUUAGGACAUGCGGAUCAACUGUAUAUACAGAGUGAGAAAGGGAAAGGGUACUCUCGUGUUUCAGGGUGUCUGAAUUGGUUUACUGAUAUCUGGGGGGAUCAGAAGAGUUCAGGUCCAGCCAGGUUGCAAUUGAGAUGCCUCUGAGACAUCCAAUAGGAGGAUGUCAUUGGAUACAGGAGUUAGGAGCUUAGAUACACACUUGGGAGAACUCGGCACAGGUGGUAUGAAAGUGGUGGGCUGGUGAGAUUGCCUAGGGAGAGAAAACACGGAGAGGAGUCCCAGGGCUGAGCCCAGACCUCUGAACAGAAGAAGGAGUCAUGGAGAAACCCAGAAGAAUGAGGUGUCACAGGCAAAGAAAAAUUGGAUGCUCCGGAAGGAGAGAGGUCUGUCUCACGAAGAGAGAUAAAAGCAGCUGGGACCACAUAGAGAACCAGGAUGAUGACUAAUUUCCCGCAAUAAACAAAUAAACUCAAAAUCUGAAUAUGGCCUUUAGACCUUGGAUGAGCUGAUUUUCCUCAGAGGAUCCAGAUUUUGUGAAGCUGUCCCAUUCAAAGCCACCCCCAGAGGCCCGGAGGAGACCACAAAGCUGCGAACACAGCCGGGACCUGCCCACUGACACACUGAAGAGUCAACACGAUUCAGGAAAGCACUUUCAAAGAGUGUUUUAUCUUGGACAGAUAAUAUUCCGUUUUGUUUCUGAGAGGCAAUGACAAUCUCUAGUUCGAUUGUAAAACUAUUUCCUUCAAAUAUACAUUUUUAUCUAUGGAGAGUGGUGUUAUUUGGGGUUUUACAAACCUAAGAAGUUUACAUUUGGCAACAGUGAUUGUUCCCAUUACAACUACAAUGUAAAAAAACAGAUUCUCUUUUGGUGUGCAUCCUCCCCUCUUUGGUUUCGAGGGUGACUUUCCCACGCAUAUCUGCCACUCACUUGGGAAGUCCUAGUCUGGAAACAUUUUAGCAAAUACGUAACCAUCGUUCCAUUGUGGCCCACACAUUUGCCUGACCUGACAUUCUUCCCCAAAACUCUUAUAUUUGCAAACUAAAACAUUAGCUCUUGAUUCCCUCCUCUUCCACCUUUUAAAACUAAAAAUAGCUCUUCCAGAUAGGCUGUUUUCAUUUUUUUUUUUUUUUUAAUCGCAGCUGCACUCUGUUAUUUUAACAAAACAACUGGCAGGUCUCUAUUCACAGAGCUGCUUUAGCCACAUAGGAUACAUAAGAUGCAUAAUCAAUAUGUUCUUUAAAAGACUCUCUUAAUCAGAAAAGAUGCUAACUACAUGUAAAAUUAUUCACUUACAUAUAUUGGUUUGUGCAAUUUUCCACAGUGACAGUAAAGUUGGUAGCUAAAUAUGUUUUUAUACAUAACAAAACUUAGCGAAUGUCUUUUGUAAGGCAUGCAUUGUGAGGGUAGUAUUAAUAUUUGUGUUUCUACGUUUAUAUUCCACCAUCCCCUAGUAAAGAUGUUCUAUUUUAUACAGAGUUGUAAACCACUUUGAAAUAUAGUGAGAUGCUCUAUUUUGAAUAAAAUCAGGUUACUGAUGUACUAAAUAGGCAGCGUCUGGACAAAAGCAAGCCUCACUGAAGGUGGGUUAGUUCCCUCUAGAGCCUGUCCCCAGUCCUGAGUUCUCAGACUUUUCUCAGUGUUUCCCUUUAGUGAAAAGGAGCCAGGAUUAGCCAUGAGCAGUCAUGGUCAAUGUUCUGAGAAGUUUUGAGAAGGAAACUCCUCUUCAGCAAAAGAACUUUCAUUCUCUCCUUCUUCCUGUGAAAUGGCACUCUAAAGGUGACCAAGGCAACCCAAAGAAAGAUACCUGUUUGCAACAUCUAUUUUUGCUUUUCAGAAAUAGGAUUUAGUUGCCAAUUAGAAAGCCAGAAAGCAAAGAAGAUCCCUGCACUGCCACUUAGAAUGGUUAUAGCCACACACUAGCAGAAACUGAAAGAUUCAUCGGAAAACAACCCCCAAUCCUUGGCCUUGCAUUUAAAUGUGAAUGGGGCUGUGUGUCUACCCUGCCUUCUUGCUUUCCUUCCUUUACAUGAUUCCUGCCAUGUCUAAAGCAGGCAUACCCAUACUGUUGAAUCUUGGAGUAACUGACAGUGUCCAAAUGAUACCCUGGAUUUAAACAGUUUCAAGCACAGUAGACACAUUGUCACCAGACAGCCAGUGGUGGGAAACCAGUGUGUGUAGGAUGCAGGGAUCACGAGGGAGCAGCCACAGAGGCAGUGACUGCUUUCUGCCUUCAGAGAGCCCAGCCUCUGCACACACAGGCAUCCACAGACACAAAGCCACAUCCUUAUCAACAGAGGGGACAGGAAUAUGACAUUCUGCACACAGCCAAACACCUUAGAGGACUGAGGUACUGAGGACAAAAUAUUUAAAGCCAGUAAAGCUGGAAGUUGAGUGGGCAAAAAAGCAUACAUACUUUCAUAGACCCAUUUUUCUAGUAAUAAAUUCCACGGUUUUUUCUCAUUACCACAAAUAUACACAUACAAAGGUAAAGAAACUAUAUAGGCAAUUAUUUAAGUUCUCUCCUUUUUCAAUUAAUAUUAACCUUUAAAACAUUAAAUACUAUUUCUGAGGAUCACAUAAUCUAAAAAAAGAAGAAAGAAAAAAAAAGCCUUUAUGUGAAUUAACCAGAAGAACUAGCACUCCCUAACAGCAGACAAAUAGGCCUCUACAACACUUUCUCACAUCUUCCUCAGGGCAACCACAAAGGAACAUCAUUGCCAAUCACAGGCGAUCUGUGCUUUGGAAACCUGAAACCACAGCGUUUUCUUCAUGUGGGCAAAGUACAUCAAAUCUGAUUAAAAUAAGCUUACACUACAAAUUGGCCUAAGCUGUGUGGAAAGUGGUUGGCAAUACAUAUCAAAGGCCUUAAAAAUGUUAUUCUACUUAAUUCAUUAAUUCCAUCUCUGGGACUAGCUCCUGGGGCAGUUAUGUGAAAUGCCACCAAAGGUUUAUAUAAAAGAUGUUUAUCUUUUAUAUUUAUAAUAGGAAAAAACAAGAAACCAUACAAACAUCCAAUUAUAGGAAAUAGUGAAGUAAGUUAUAGGAUCCUACAAUGGAAUUUAAUAAACCUAUAUUCAAUUUUAUACAUACAGGAUCCUCUAAACUGUGUAAAACAAAACAGAGGAGAGAAAAUGUUAACAUGAUUAUCUCUGGGUGGUGAGCAUUUUGGUUUUUGCCUCAUAUUUUGUAAAUUUUCUAUAAUAAGGAUGUAUUUAAUAAUCAGUAAAAGAUAUAUAUACAUAUGUACAUAUUUUUACAUAAUAUAUCAAUGUUGUACACAUCUACAAUUCAUUAAUUUCUUUGAUGUUUAUAACAUAAUAAGCUGACAGGCAAACAAGGAAUCUCAGAAUCAAAAUAAAACCAAAAUCGCUUAUAUAAUGUUUCCUUUAAAUAACCACAUUAAAAUAAAUUAGCGUUUUUUUUAUUCUUGCCAAGCAUUGCAUACCUACAUAUUUUCUUUUCUGUCCAAUAAGUAAAUUUCCUACGUAGUGAUCACUGUGAUUUUCUUUUGUGAGCAUAUGUAGGUUGAAAAUGUUCCAUGUUUUGAUUAGAAUAAUCAAGCUGUCAGGUGAGAAAUCCACAUUUCAUCAUGAUCAUCUGCAGCUCACACUUGGCACCCAAUAUACACAUAUUUAUUUUACUGACCUGGCCAUACACAAAUAAUAGCACAUGGCAAAUUUGCAAAGACAGCCCUGCUCUCAGGCCAUUGUAUUAUCUGCAAAAAUCUGUUUUCAGCAGCAGACUAUCCACAAAUUUGACCCCCUGGCUCUUUUUUCUUUUUUUAAC